rnacentral:lncRNA from 1 species
UGGAAGUGGGCCAGAAUCCAUUUCUGUUGCAUGCAACCAGAUGCAAGCUGAGCUGUGUCUUCAGAAGAGUGGAAAGAAGGGGAGAGCAGGGAGAAAGAGCCUCUCCACCCAGAAGCUGCAGGGAGGCGAGGAGGGCAGAGCCCCGCUCAGCCUGAGUCGCUGACACUAAAGAUGUUCCUGACAUACCAAGGCCCUCCGUCAAGUCUCAGUGAAGAAACGAAAUGAACCGUGCAUGCCUGAAAAGUAAAGAUACUCACACAGCUAUGACAGGUGUUUGUGGUGUGCUCCACAACCUUUCAGGGCUGGAAAUUACACAUUUCUUCUCUUUUUGAGAUCAAAUAAGUUUGGCCCAGCAGCUCUUGGCUUUCCAGGACUACCACAGGCCCCUCUGGGGUUUUCGAAGAACACUGAGGCCUGGCAAUUUGAAGAAGGGUCACUGGUCCCCACUCCUCCAGGCUGCUGUUGCUGGCGUGUCCUGCCCAUGCAGGAGUAGCCCUGGGAAGUGGGUGCCCUUGGGCACGCUACUGAUGUUCCCGCCAAGCCCUCCGGGUGUGCCUCUGUCCCCCUGGGGAGCUGAGUUUGGCUGAGAGCCCCUGAUGCCACCUGCCUCUGCCCCUACCCCAGUUCUGGCAGCAGCUUCCCCCUUCCCUUGGGGCACCUGCUCCUCCUCCCUCCCUGACUUGGGUUUGAAUCUUGAUGAAACAGCUGGCUGACUAGGGACACGUGUGCCUUACCUCCCUUCACCUCAGCUUCCUCCUCUGUAAGAUAAGGACCCUAAUGCCAUGUGGCAGGUUGUGAGAGGAUUAAAUAAGGAAAUGCACUUCAAGUGUUUAGCUUAGAGUCUGGGGCCUAAGAUGUGGUCAGUUAAUGUUAGUUAAAAUGAAACCAAGGAAACCCCAGCUGUGCAGGACAGACAUGAUUAGGAGGGAGCAGGCAUGCCUGCUACGGGCAGGUCAGAGGUGGCUUGGGGUCAGCGAGUCGACUUCCUGGAGGAGGUGGUCCUGGAAGGACAGAUGGGAUUUGAAUGAGGCACAAGGGUGGACAGCUCCAGGACCAGGGGUCAGCCUGGCAUCCCUCACCUGGAAGGAAAUUGCUGGGAAGUCUCUUGAGAGCAGUGACCAUUUCCCAUUCCCGAUAACCGCAUGUGGGGGUCCUACACCAACCCACCACAACCUCACCGAUGCCGAGCGCUGUUGCGCAUUCACACUCCGGUCACUCUCGUGGGUGUGCCGUGGCACCUUCAUGUGGUUUGAAUCUGCACGUUCCUGUAGGUGAACCGUGCUGAGCCUUUCUUCAUGUGCUUAUUGGCCAAGGGUGUUCAUUCCUUUGUGAAGAAUGUGUUCAAAUCUUUUGCUCAUUAAAAAAAAUUCGUUGUUGGU